GACAGAGGGUGCAAACGUUGUUCGGAAUUACUGGGCGUAAAGCGCGUGUAGGCUGCUUGGAAAGUCGGAUGUGAAAGCCCUGGGCUCAACCCAGGAAGUGCACUCGAAACUUCCGAGCUCGAGUUCUGGAGAGGAUAGCGGAAUUCUCGGUGUAGAGGUGAAAUUCGUAGAUAUCGAGAGGAACCCCGGUGGCGAAGGCGGCUAUCUGGACAGAAACUGACGCUGAGACGCGAAAGCGUGGGGAGCAAACAGG
rnacentral:rRNA from 1 species